UCCCGGUUGAUCCUGCCAGAGGUUACUGCUAUCGGUGUUCGACUAAGCCAUGCGAGUCAUAUGUUCUUCGUGAACAUGGCGGACUGCUCAGUAACACGUGGAUAACCUGCCCUUAGGUUCGGCAUAACUCCGGGAAACUGGAGAUAAUUCCGAAUAGGUCACAUAUGCUGGAAUGCUUUUUGACCAAAAGACCUCGGUUGCCUAAGGAUGGAUCUGCGGUCUAUCAGGUAGUAGUGGGUGUAACGUACCUACUAG
rnacentral:rRNA from 1 species